ACGAACGCUGGCGGCGUGCCUAAUACAUGCAAGUUGAGCGCUGAAGGUUGGUACUUGUACCAACUGGAUGAGCAGCGAACGGGUGAGUAACGCGUGGGGAAUCUGCCUUUGAGCGGGGGACAACAUUUGGAAACGAAUGCUAAUACCGCAUAAAAACUUUAAACACAAGUUUUAAGUUUGAAAGAUGCAAUUGCAUCACUCAAAGAUGAUCCCGCGUUGUAUUAGCUAGUUGGUGAGGUAAAGGCUCACCAAGGCGAUGAUACAUAGCCGGCCUGAGAGGGUGAUCGGCCACAUUGGGACUGAGACACGGCCCAAACUCCUACGGGAGGCAGCAGUAGGGAAUCUUCGGCAAUGGACGAAAGUCUGACCGAGCAACGCCGCGUGAGUGAAGAAGGUUUUCGGAUCGUAAAACUCUGUUGGUAGAGAAGAACGUUGGUGAGAGUGGAAAGCUCAUCAAGUGACGGUAACUACCCAGAAAGGGACGGCUAACUACGUG
rnacentral:rRNA from 1 species